UGAAUGGAUUGGGAAUAUAUAUAAAGUCAAUGCUUAUACCGUCUUGAAGAUUUAGAUAUUCAAAUACUGCUUCAAUACCUUGGGAUUGUUUGAUUGUCUAGUGGUAGCCCAGUAAAAGAUAACUAGAGAUGCUACCUAGCAAGCAGAUACAUAUAGGCCCAAUAAAAAAGUAAAAAGAGCAAUAUUUGAGACAAACGAUAAAAGCAAGUGAUUGAAAAGGAUAAGAUAUGAAGGUGGCAGAAGCCUCCAACAAAGCCGUAAAUUUCCAAUAACGGUGUGGUUUGUCAUUAGGUACAUAUGCGGCCACAAGCCCAUGUAUGGAAGGACCAAUAGAACUCGUGAUGCCGUAGAAUAAAGCUAGACAUGGAAGGGUUUGUGCUGUUGCAAAGUAAAGAAUAAAAAUGAUCAAAGUAGUGGCAGUCAAACCGAUUAACAUAGUUGUUUUCAUCAUGUGAACAGAAAAACCACCAACAUAAGUUAAAAACAGACAUACUGAACAAGUAAGAAGAGAUCCAAAAGUUUUUACAGAAUUGAUAAAUCCGACUUGUACGAUAGACAUGUGCAUGACUAUCAGUUGAAACUGUAGAUGAAUAUCAAAGAAGGGAGUUAAAAGACUAUAUAAGAAGA